AGCGAACGUUAGCGGCAGGCUUAACACAUGCAAGUCGAGCGAGAAAGGGGGCUUCGGCCCCCGUAAGACGGCGGACGGGUGCGUAACACGUGGAUAAUCUGCCCUUUCGGUCGGGGGACGAACCAUUCGAAAGGAUGGCUAAUACCGCAUAAGUCGGCGAGGUCUUUGUACUUCGCCGGGAAAGGGGGCGGCCCGCCAAGGGGCGUCCCACCAGAGGAUGAGUCCGCGGCCCAUCAGCUAGUUGGCGGGGUAAUGGCCCACCAAGGCAAGACGGGUAGCUGGUCUGAGAGGAUGAUCAGCCACACUGGGACUGAGACACGGCCCAGACUCCUACGGGAGGCAGCAGUGGGGAAUAUUGGACAAUGGGCGCAAGCCUGAUCCAGCCAUGCCGCGUGAGUGAUGAAGGCCUUC
rnacentral:rRNA from 1 species